rnacentral:lncRNA from 1 species
CCCCAUAAUUUACAGAUUGGGGCUGAUAAGAUAGAAAUCUGCUAAUUUCUACCAUUCCAGGAAUUUCUGCUACUGGCAGGUGAUCCACAAACCACCAGAGAUGAACUUAAAUAGCCCCAGAUACGUUCAGUUGAAUUUGCAAAUAUAAAUAAAAUUUGUUUCACAUACCACAAACGCAAUAAUGAUGCAAUUAAUCAAAUAUGACGUUAUUUUCUAGGACUCUAACCACAAGGGAAUAUCGGUGAGAAGAAAAUCAGAAAUGCAAACUCCAGCUCCAGAGGAGAGACCCGUACUUUUGUCUUCAUGUGAGAUGCUGUUUAUUACUUUCAUCCUGGUAACAUGGUAAUCCUAAAACUUCAAGAAAUAUUCUCCAAAAUGAUGAAUAUGUCUGGAAUUAGUAAUCUUUCCAAUCCCCCAGAACAAAUGGGAAGAGAAAUAACUAUCGUGUCUAAUCAGAAAUCACUUGCAAUUUCAAACAACUAUUUAUCAGGACCUCUUGAAAUAAGACAUUCUAAUCCUGGAAAUUUACAAAAGAUGCAAUGAGAGAGCAUCUACACUACUUUCUGAUAGAAAAAUUACACAGGAAUUACCUCAAUUAAUAGAUCUUACUCUCAGUUGCAAAACUAAACAUUUGUAAACAUGCCAGGCUGUGUCUCUUUUCCAGCUGAAUCCAUUUGAAUCCAUGAAGUUAUUUGGCUUCUACUCCAAAUACUCAAGCAGCACAGGUCUUGUUAAAAUUGGCCCAAUCAUGUAAAGAAGUUUGUGAAGCAUUCAGUAAAUAUUAUUCUAUUUUAAAAUUUGUAACCAGAUCCCUCAUUGGGUGUGUCUCAUUUAAAUUGGUUAUAUUUCUAAACAAAAGUGUUCUAUGUCCCAAUGAAUAUUCUAAUAGUAUGUAAGCCAAAACCUAAAGUAUGGUGCAAAACAACCUUGUUCUCUGCUAUUUCCUAAGUAUACAGAUUAAAUUUUCUUGUCUUGAAUUUCAUAUACUUUUCUAAUAAUAAUAGAGAAACUAGCUUAUACCACAAUCAGUCCUACUUUUGAUAAUACCACAUUCUGGAUGAAAAAAAAAAGUAAGCAUUCCUCUAAAUCCACUGAAUUACAAAAUUAAAAUUAUAAUUGUGUUCCACAGUAGAUAGAGGCACUAUUUCCCUCUACAGAUAAGUCUACAAAAAUAAAUAAACAAAUAAUAAAUAAUAAAUAAAUUUU